UCCUAGGACGACUUCUGGAGACAGAUUUCUUCCCUUCGGGGACCUAGUGACAGGUGCUGCAUGGCUGUCGUCAGCUCGUGUCGUGAGAUGUUGGGUUAAGUCCCGCAACGAGCGCAACCCUCGUCCUUAGUUGCCAUCAUUAAGUUGGGCACUUUAAGGAAACUGCCGGUGAUAAGCCGGAGGAAGGUGGGGAUGACGUCAAGUCCUCAUGGCCCUUACAGGCUGGGCUACACACGUGCUACAAUGGCAUCUACAGUGGGCAGCUAUUCCGCAAGGAUGCGCUAAUCUCCAAAAGAUGUCUCAAUUCGGAUUGUCCUCUGCAACUCGAGGGCAUGAAGGCGGAAUCGCUAGUAAUCGCGGAUCAGCAUGCCGCGGUGAAUACGUUCCCAGGCCUU
rnacentral:rRNA from 1 species